CCAGUCGUGAUUAUUCUUCUUCAGCCUUCUAUCCUUCCGAGUUCUUUUUGGUGCAGGUGCAUGUGGGGUCAUCUUGGCACGAUGUGCGGCCAUCGAUGAAGUAGCCGCUACCUUCCCACAACGUCACUAUCCGCCUCCUAUUGUGGCAGUCGGGUGAUUGAGCUUUAACCUUGAAGUCCUAGGAUAAUGGUAGCAAACCUUUCUUCAAGUGUAUUAGAAAUGAAUGAAAAACGUAGUACCGGCUGACAGCGGCUGCGGCGAAGCUAUCUGAGCGGUAGCGGAGUACUAAGGGGGUGGAGAGAGGGAGCACUGUCUCAUGCAUGAAAGAAAGUCUCCAAAACAAAAGAUUUGGUCCAGAGGUAAAAAUGUCUGACCAAAGGCUGGCAUUCAGAUAAAUCAGUUUUAUGUUUCAAAUAACUCAUAAAUGGCAUUUAAAUUCUAGCAGUGCAAAGAACAAAAUCAAACAAGAUAAUAAUCAGUUUUGUCAUAAAUUAUUUUUUAGAAUAAAAACAUGUUUAAGAACUGUAUAAGCACACCUACAAUUAGCAACCUCUGAAGAUUUGUAUGAACUAAUAUUUAUGUGUAACCAUGACAACAUCACACGUUAGACCCUUGAAAGAAGCCAUAUCAUGUUUCCAAAUAUUAGGCUAAAUGUCUGAAUAAAAGAAGAAAAAACACUAGGUACAGUUUUUGCCAAGAUAGUGCCGACGAGGAAACAACAGACACAUUGUAAGUGAUUCUUGCAGUACCAAUAUUCCCAUGAACUUAUUACUAAAGAAGAUGUCUUUGUGAUGGUACAUUUGUCCAUAUUUCUUAAUCAUAUAUGGCACACUGUACAUUUUCCCUCCUAGUGUUUUGGAAUCCUUAUUUAUGGUACUAAUAAGUAGCAUUCUAAUCUGCAUAUGGUUGUUUUGUUACAAAGUCAUAUUCUGUCACCAUAAUUUAUUAAAGAGAAAAAUGUUUGGUUGCACAAUUACAAGCUUGCUUUGUUUGAUUCUACUUGCAGCGCGGCCACACGGGCCCAGCAAUAGCAACGUCACAUGGUGGUUGCCAUCGUCACGUCGAGCUCUCCCUCUCCACCAACUAAUAGUUCCUGACGGUGGAGCAGAAAUUCAUUAAGAGCAUAUAGGGAUUCACAAGUGAUUUUGAGCCCAACAAUCUUGCUGCCAUCGAUACUCCUGAAAGACACAAUUCCAUUUUGGCAGAUGCAAGUGGAGGAUUUGGUGACAUGUUUUGCUGUGAAGUUUGCGAACCAUGGUAAACCAACACCUAUUGCUUUGAUAUAAUCAUCUCGAUCACUGGUUGAUGUAUUUGAACAGGACAUGAAUGAUGGCAAAGUUGUAUGCGUCGUUGGAUUUGCCUUUCUGUUUGCAGUUGAUGUAAGGAAAUGCUAUGUUGAAACUUUUGCCACUUUUGUGUUAUCAUGAUUAAGCAGUGCUUCCCGGCUGGGAAAUGAAAGUCUUGGAUUGUCUUUGGUGGCAGGUGACAUCAAAUCCUUGUGUUUCUUGUGAGAUUAAUUUCUUUCACAUGAAAAAAUGGCGGGCUACAUAGAUUAUUAGUUAUGCACCAGAUAGGAAAUGCACAGACUUUGUAGGUGUGACAAAGAGGCAAGAUAAUAUAUUUUGUGGAUGUAUCUUAGAUUUUACAAUGCUGAUGAGGUGGUGCCUUGCAUUUUGUGACAUGGUUAGUGGGUCUUUCUACGUGGAUUGCAUUAUGCAGGGACGACUAGUUCCUUACCCAAAUGUGGUUAAAGUUAGGAACAGUCUUCUCCCUGAAAUUGAUUUAGUGAUUUCAAACAGACUUAUAUGUGUGAUGCAGGUAUGGUUAUUCUGCUCAUGGAAGAUCUACAGGGAAGGUAUCUUUUGUUCUUAUAUUUUGGUUGCUUAACAAAUACCUUAUGUAGAAACUAUAAUCUUCUCUCUAACCAUAUCUUAGUGGAAAGUUUAUUCUUCCAUUGAACAUCCCACUGAGUGUAAUGCAUAUGCAGAAAUGCAUAUGCAGAAACUGAGGUAGCAUAUAACUGCCGCAAGGGAAAAUAUGGUGUAGCAGAUGAGGAUAUAAUCUUAUAUGGUCAAUGUGUUUGAAUUGGUCCAACCAUUGAUAUUUCUUCGCGGUUGCUAGACUUGAGAGUCGCAGUUUUGCAUAGUCCUAUAUUCUAUCUGCACUAAGAGUAAUAUAUACAGCCAAGCGGA